CUUAGAUAAUCUAAAUUUUAUCUUUAAGAUACUCUCACUUGAUCGAAUCUUAAUGUGAAGGUAUCUUUACCUCUUUGUUUCUCUAAUUCUAGUGUGAAUCCCUUGAACUUUUCAAGAGUUUCAUGUUUGAGUUUUCAUCAAGUAUACUUGAUCAUUGAUGAAAUAAGAGAAACAUUACCUGACAUUGAUUGACAUGAAUCCAUAUGCAUCACUAUGCAUUAGACCAGUAAUUAUGCUGACCUUUCUUCUUUUCAAGCAAAAGAAGAUUUGGUUAUUGUGCCAGACAUGCAUAAUUCUUACUUGUCAAAAUCAAUUAAUCCCAAGUAUACAUCUUUAUGUAACUUUGGAAUUACAUUUCAUCCAAAUGACAAA
rnacentral:lncRNA from 1 species